AUACGUAGGGUGCGAGCGUUGUCCGGAAUUACUGGGCGUAAAGAGCUCGUAGGUGGUUUGUCGCGUCGUCUGUGAAAUUCCGGGGCUUAACUCCGGGCGUGCAGGCGAUACGGGCAUAACUUGAGUACUGUAGGGGAGACUGGAAUUCCUGGUGUAGCGGUGAAAUGCGCGGAUAUCAGGAGGAACACCGGUGGCGAAGGCGGGUCUCUGGGCAGUAACUGACGCUGAGGAGCGAAAGCAUGGGUAGCGAACAGGAUUAGAUACCCUGGUAGUCCAUGCCGUAAACGGUGGGCGCUAGGUGUAGGGGUCUUCCACGACUUCUGUGCCGUAGCUAACGCAUUAAGCGCCCCGCCUGGGGAGUACGGCCGCAAGGCUAAAACUCAAAUGAAUUGACGGGG
rnacentral:rRNA from 1 species